UUCCAGAGACUCGUCUGAGCCUGAAGAGAGAGCGGACAACAGGGAAGAGUGUGUACCUGAUCAGCCGGAGCAGCAGGAAGACCUUCAGUAUGCCAGCGUUCACUUCUCCAACAACCGGGCAGACCCUCUUUACUCCAACAUGAGAGCAGCUCAGCCCCUCGGACACACGGAGCAACAGGAAGUCCCGGAGUACGCUGCCGUCAAGUUCAGCAGUGCUGCCCCGAGGACCAGAGGUCAGGACUCUGAAGAGGAUCCAGCUGUAUUGUACAGCACGGUCAACACAUCCAGAUAAACACAGCAGACGUUGCAUUUAUGAUCUAAAAUGUCUGAUUCUUUUACAGUAGAAUGUUUAAUAAUCAGGUUAACUUAGAUUUUUUUAAAUAGAUAAAAUAUGUGCUUCACCAAGAUUAUAUAUUCAACAGUCGUUAUCUUAUUUUAUGUUUUACUUCGAGUGGGUCAGCAGUAUUGAACAUUGAAUAUUCACUCUUUCUAUUUACAUGAGUUUUUUUAAACACAUAUUAUAGUAUCAUUAUAUUUCGAAUCAUGCAUAGCUAUUUUUUUCAAUAAAAAAUAGAAAAAUAAAACUCACUGCAGUACUCCAAAGUACCCCUAGGGGUAGGCAGUUGUAAUUGUAAAUAUAAAAAAGUAACUUCAGCAACAACAAGGGUUGUGGUCCAACUGGCUUCCCACUGCCAGCUGUCUUUGUUGGAAAGCUGUAGAUAUGAAAUGAGUUAUAGAAGACAUUAGGCAAGGCAAGUUUAUUUAUAUAGCACUUUUUAACACAAGGCAAUUCAAAGUGCUUUACAAAAAAUGAAAGACAUUAAGAAAAUGGCAUUUUUAAAA